rnacentral:lncRNA from 1 species
CAAAACUGAAGAGUCUCUUGUGGAUCUACCUCUCUCUGGAGGCACAGGUGCUAAACGGGGUAUUAAAGGACCAUGAAGAUUUUCUCCAUCUCUUGUUGAUUAACAGAGCCGUGAUGGUAACAGCUCCCCCCAGUCCCAAGCCCUGGAUUCUACCCUGCAUGGUCCUGACGGCUUGUUCCAUCCACACCAAUGAGAUGUUCAGACUGUCAGUUCCUAAGAGCUAGCAAGUGUGCAGGAGCAAUUCACUACCGACCGGCCACAGACACGUGGGCCUGCAUAUCUGCAGUGGCUUCCUGGAGGGCAGCUUCGCAUCUGGCUUUCCUCCGGCCAGGAAGGCUCACAGCUGCGGGCUUUUGCAGGAAGAAACUGAAGUCUGACAUCCUGUCAUGCUGUGAGGGUCAUGUUGCGGCUGCUCCUGUGACGAAAUUGCUCCUACAAAUGAUGAGGAAGCUUCAGCACAAGCAUACUGUGAUUUUAAAAGAAAAGGCAGUGGGCUCCCAGACAAAGUUAAAAAGGGCACCACAUUUGACUGCACAUCCCAGAGCAGGUUGGCUUAACCAAGGCCUUCCAACCAGGAGGACUGACAGCAAGCAAAAGCCUCCCCGAGGACACGCACAGAGAUGGUGCAGUGGCUGCUCCGGAAAGAUUUCUGUUGACAUUGUUUUGAUCAUGUUUUCAGAUUCUGAAACACUGGCGGCGUUUGUU